GACGAACGCUGGCGGCGUGCUUAACACAUGCAAGUCGAACGGAAAGGCCCUGCUUGCAUGGUGCUCUAGUGGCGAACGGGUGAGUAACACGUGGGUGUUCUGCCCUGCACUUCGUGGUAAGCCUUGAGAACUGUGUCGAAUACCCGGGAUAGGCCAUUUUGAUUGUGGGUGUGGGAAAGUUUUUUGGGGUUAGUGGGAGCUGGCGGCCUAUCAGCUUGUUGGUUGGGUAAUGGCCUACCAACGCGGCCACGGGUAGCCGGCCUGGGAGGGUGGACGGCCAACUUGGGACUGAGAUACGGCCCAGAACUCUACGGGAGGCAGGAGUGGGGAAAAAUGCAAAAUGGGGGCAAGGCUGAUGCAGCGAAGCCGCGUGGGGGAUGAAGGGCUUCGGGUUGGAAAACCGCUUCGGUAGGGAAGAAGCCUUUUGUGACGGUACCUAGAAAAGAAGCACCGGCUAACUACGUG
rnacentral:rRNA from 1 species